AAUGCUUUGUUGUUGUAGUUUUUUGUUUCUUUUAAACGCCUUUUACGCAUAGGUUUAAGAGUGUGUGUUGUUAUUGUUGUUGUUGUGAGUUAAAGCUUUUGCAUCACUUAAAAAGUAAGAGAAAUAUUCUCGAGCAAAAGCAGAGCAUGAAAAAUUUGAAGUUUUUGUAUUUGUUUACAAAAACAAAUUAAAAAAGUUUUUUGUUUUUAAUAAAAGAAAUGCAUAAUAAGUAUAGAGUUGCCAUUUCUGCAAAUAGUGUUAAUAAAACGGCUAACGGUUCGGUUUCGGUUUGUGUAAUUAAAUAAAUAUGUUAUAUACUUUUGAAGGAGUAAAGGAGGGGUUGUUAAUUAGAGUCUGUUGACAGCAGACGCUUAUACUGGAUCAGUGCAAUGAAUGUCAGCAAUGACAAACAUUUGAUUUGGUUUAAAAUCGUCCACCAUAAUUCAUACACUCACUUAUCGGUUCAUUCAGCUUAAAAUAAG